UACGGGAGGCAGCAGUGGGGAAUAUUGCACAAUGGGGGAAACCCUGAUGCAGCAACGCCGCGUGAGCGAAGAAGGCCUUCGGGUUGUAAAGCUCUGUCCUUAGGGACGAAGAAGUGACGGUACCUAAGGAGGAAGCCCCGGCUAACUACGUGCCAGCAGCCGCGGUAAU
rnacentral:rRNA from 1 species